rnacentral:rRNA from 1 species
AACAGGGAUUGCCUUAGUAACGGCGAGUGAAGCGGCAACAGCUCAAAUUUGAAAGCUGGCUCCUUUGGAGUCCGCGUUGUAAUUUGUAGAGGAUGAUUCGGCAAGGGCUCCCGCCUAAGUCUCCUGGAACGGAGCGUCAUAGAGGGUGAGAAUCCCGUAUGCGGUGGGCUGCCUAAGCCAUGUGAAUCUCCUUCGACGAGUCGAGUUGUUUGGGAAUGCAGCUCUAAAUGGGAGGUAAAUUUCUUCUAAAGCUAAAUACCGGCCAGAGACCGAUAGCGCACAAGUAGAGUGAUCGAAAGAUGAAAAGCACUUUGGAAAGAGAGUUAAAAAGUACGUGAAAUUGUUGAAAGGGAAGCGCUUGCAGCCAGACUUGUCCGCAGUUGCUCAGCCGGUCUCCUGACCGGUGUACUCUUCUGCGGCCAGGCCAGCAUCAGUUCGGGCGGUCGGAUAAAGACCUCGGGAAUGUAGCUCCUCUCGGGGAGUGUUAUAGCCCGGGGUGGAAUGCGGCCAGCCUGGACUGAGGAUCUCGCUUCGGCUAGGAUGCUGGCGUAAUGGCUGUAAGCGGCCCGUCUUGAAACACGGACCAAGGAGUCUAACAUCUAUGCGAGUGUUUGGGUGUCAAACCCAUGCGCGUAAUGAAAGUGAACGGAGGUGGGAACCCUCACGGGUGCACCAUCGACCGAUCCUGAUGUCUUCGGAUGGAUUUGAGUAAGAGCAUAGCUGUUGGGACCCGAAAGAUGGUGAACUAUGCCUGAAUAGGGUGAAGCCAGAGGAAACUCUGGUGGAGGCUCGCAGCGGUUCUGACGUGCAAA